GACGAACGCUGGCGGCGUGCCUAAUACAUGCAAGUCGAGCGCUAACGGAUGGUACUUGUACCCACUGGAUGAGCAGCGGACGGGUGAGUAACGCGUGGGGAAUCUGCCUCUGAGCGGGGGACAACAUUGGGGAACGAAUGCUAAUACCGCAUAAUAACUUUAACCACAAGAUUUAAGUUUGAAAGAUGCAAUUGCAUCACUAAAAGAUGUACCCGCGUUGUAUUAGCUAGUUGGUGAGGUAAAGGCCAACCCAAGCGAUGAUACAUAGCCUGCCCGAGAGGGUGAUCCGCCAAAUUUGGAACUGAGAACGGGCCAAGACACUGCGGGGGGGAGCCGUAGGGGAUUUUCGGCAAUAGACGAAAAGCUGAACGCGCCACGACGCGUGAGUGAAGGAGGUUGUUGGGUCGUAAAACUCUUUUGGUAGGGAAGGACGUUGGGGAGAGUGAAACGCUCAUCUAGUGACGGUAACUACCCAAUAAGCGACGGCUAACUACGUG
rnacentral:rRNA from 1 species